AUCGAACGCUAGCGGGAUGCCUUACACAUGCAAGUCGAACGGAGUGGCGAACGGGUGAGUAAUGUAUCGGAACGUGCCCAGUAGCGGGGGAUAAAUACGCGAAAGCGUAGCUAAUAACGCAUAAUAUUAGAGCGGCCGCUAUCGGCUUAGAUAGGUGGGGGGGGAACGGCUAAACAAGGUGACGAACAGUAGCUGGAUUGAGGGGAGGACCAGCCACACUGGUACUGAGACACGGCCCAGACUCCUACGGGAGGCAGCAGUAGGGAAUUUUGGACAAUGGGGGAAACCCUGAUCCAGCCAUGCCGCGUGUGCGAUGAAGGUCGUCGGGUUGUAAAGCACGUUGGGCAGGGAAGCGGUACCUGCAGAAUAAGCACCGGCUAACUACGUGCCAGCAGCCGCGGUAAUUC
rnacentral:rRNA from 1 species